UACGUAGGGUGCGAGCGUUAAUCGGAAUUACUGGGCGUAAAGCGUGCGCAGGCGGUUUUGUAAGCCAGAUGUGAAAGCCCCGGGCUCAACCUGGGAAUGGCAUUUGGGACUGCAAGGCUUGAGUGCGGCAGAGGAGACUGGAAUUCCUGGUGUAGCAGUGAAAUGCGUAGAUAUCAGGAGGAAUACCGAUGGCGAAGGCAGGUCUCGUGGGCUGGACACU
rnacentral:rRNA from 1 species